rnacentral:misc_RNA from 1 species
UUUCCGCAGGUGAACCUGCGGAAGGAUCAUUACAGAGUUCAUGCCCUCACGGGUAGAUCUCCCACCCUUGAAUAUUUAUACCUUAGUUGCUUUGGCAGGCCGUGGAAACACCAUGGGCUCCGGCUUAUGCGUGCCUGCCAGAGGAAACAAACUCUGUUUUUAGUGAUGUCUGAGUACUAUAUAAUAGUUAAAACUUUCAACAACGGAUCUCUUGGUUCUG